AGCUUGCAGGCUCCAAACAUUCUUUAUGACAGACAACUUCUUUAUCAGCUUGGGCUUACCUUCUUCUUUUUCGGUCUAGAUUUUCCAAGUUGCAUCCAACCUUUUGUUUCUCAGCUGUAUCACCUUCCAGGUUACCUCGGGAGAAAAUCUGGGGUUGCGUCUUUCACUCAUUGUCCACUAGUCUAUCAUUUCUCCAGCAUAAUCUACUUUCAUCUGUAACUAAAAAAAAUAAAAACAACCACACAAC
rnacentral:lncRNA from 1 species